rnacentral:rRNA from 1 species
AUUGAACGCUGGCGGAAUGCUUUACACAUGCAAGUCGAACGGCAGCACGGACUUCGGUCUGGUGGCGAGUGGCGAACGGGUGAGUAAUGUAUCGGAACGUGCCCAGUCGUGGGGGAUAACGUAGUGAAAAUUACGCUAAUACCGCAUACGAUCUAUGGAUGAAAGCGGGGGAUCGCAAGACCUCGCGCGAUUGGAGAGGCCGAUAUCAGAUUAGGUAGAUGGUGGGGUAAAGGCCCACCAAGCCAACGAUCUGUAGCUGGUCUGAGAGGACGAACAGCCACACUGGAACUGGGACAGGGUCCAGCCUCCUACGGGAGGCAGCAGUGGGGAAAUUUGGACAAUGGGCGAAAGCCUGAUCCAGCCACUCCGCGUGCAGGAUGAAGGCCCUCGGGUUGUAAACUGCUUUUGUACAGAACGAAAAGGUUUCUACUAAUACUAGGAGCUCAUGACGGUACUGUAAGAAUAAGCACCGGCUAACUACGUGCCAGCCGCCGCCGUAA